CUACGCGACGAUGAGACCCUCUCCUACUUCUUCACCGGGCUCAACACCGACUAUGACCCGAUCAUGACAUCGCUUACGACUUGAUCUGAUCCUCUUUGCCUCGACGAAAUCUAUGCUCAUUUGCUUACCUUCGAGA